rnacentral:rRNA from 1 species
AGCGAACGCUGGCGGCAGGCCUAACACAUGCAAGUCGAACGAACUCUUCGGAGUUAGUGGCGGACGGGUGAGUAACACGUGGGAACGUGCCCUUUGGUACGGAAUAACUCAGGGAAACUUGAGCUAAUACCGUAUGUGCCCUUCGGGGGAAAGAUUUAUCGCCAUUGGAGGGGCCCGCGUCUGAUUAGCUAGUUGGUGAGGUAAAGGCUCACCAAGGCGACGAUCAGUAGCUGGUCUGAGAGGAUGAUCAGCCACAUUGGGACUGAGACACGGCCCAAACCCCUACGGGAGGCAGCAGUGGGGAAUCUUGCGCAAUGGGCGGAAGCCUGACGCAGCCAUGCCGCGUGAAUGAUGAAGGUCUUAGGAUUGUAAAAUUCUUUCACCGGGGACGAUAAUGACGGUACCCGGAGAAGAAGCCCCGGCUAACUUCGUGCCAGCAGCCGCAGUAA